GUAAUUUCGGAGGGGUGCUGUUGCACCGGUCUCGUUGAGACGGGCAGCGGCUGAGAUCACACCCAGAGAACCUGAUCCAGGUAAUGCUGGCGGAGGGAACAUGUCCAGAGUAAAA
rnacentral:ncRNA from 1 species